rnacentral:misc_RNA from 1 species
UGGACAACAAAACCUGCAUCAAAAUAGAUUGCUUUUUCUCUUAAGAAGUGGAAUUUAACUUUUCAAAGAAACAGGCUAUGAUGAAGAUCCAAAGACUCCAAAAAGGAAGAGGAUCAUGAUUUAGAAAACUCUGUUAACAUGGUAUUUUCGGAAGAGAGGAGACAAUAAAUUUUCAAUAUAUGCCAUGAGCAUAUUAGAGGGAAGAUCCAAGCUAUUAUGAUAAUCCAAUGCUAAUCGUUGGGACUACAAUUCCAACACACAGAAUGUCAGCCUCCUAAGAUUAUACACUUCUGUCAUGCUUUCUGACUUCUAUGGAACAAUAUAAAAAAAUAAUGGCCUGACAGAAGAUUUGGUCUGAUCAUAUCAAAGGUAACUUUCUGUACACAUCUAUAUGAACAACAACAAAAAAUAAUGAGCUCACAUUUAUUUGAACACAUCUUAA